GACUAACAAGUAGUUUUUUAUUCUGCCUCAUUUACCGAAUGAGCAUUCCCUUGUUACCUUGCCCGAGGUCAUGCAUGAGUUCCCAGAAAAUUGAAAGUUAGUCUGCAUUCCCUGGUCACAUCCUACCCAACAAAGCAGUUUCACUGCAGCAUAGAAUCCCCUGGUGCAUAAUUGAGACCUAACUUCAGACUUCUAAACAGGGUAAUGUCAACUCCCUCCUCCAGCUGUUCCAGGCAGUUAUCUUUACCAGCUGUUUACCAUCGUCAACAAUGACAUACUUCUGCAUGUCUGAAAUAUGUGAAACUUCAAAACGGCCCUUUCAUGUUUCUACCCAAGGAAUUUGGAGUAAGUGUUCAAUCCAGUGGGGAAGCUACAGUGUUUACUAACCGAGAUGGCAGCCAGGAUCCCUCAGUUUGAGA